rnacentral:rRNA from 1 species
GAUGAACGCUGGCGGCGUGCCUAAUACAUGCAAGUCGAGCGAACAGACGAGGAGCUUGCUCCUCUGACGUUAGCGGCGGACGGGUGAGUAACACGUGGAUAACCUACCUAUAAGACUGGGAUAACUUCGGGAAACCGGAGCUAAUACCGGAUAAUAUAUUGAACCGCAUGGUUCAAUAGUGAAAGACGGUUUUGCUGUCACUUAUAGAUGGAUCCGCGCCGCAUUAGCUAGUUGGUAAGGUAACGGCUUACCAAGGCAACGAUGCGUAGCCGACCUGAGAGGGUGAGCGGCCACACUGGGACUGAGACACGGUCCAGACUCCUACGGGAGGCAGCAGUAGGGAAUCUUCCGCAAUGGGCGAAAGCCUGACGGAGCAACGCCGCGUGAGUGAUGAAGGUCUUCGGAUCGUAAAACUCUGUUAUUAGGGAAGAACAAAUGUGUAAGUAACUAUGCACGUCUUGACGGUACCUAAUCAGAAAGCCACGGCUAACUACGUG